rnacentral:lncRNA from 1 species
GCAAUUCUGAAUCAUCAGCUCAUGUCAUUUCUAAAGCCAAGUCCCCAUCCUUUGACUCAUCAAUUAUCAUAUAUUUUUACUCAUAGAUAUUCUCCCUAUCACUUUUUAAAGAUGCAAUUUAUGUCUACUUUCCAGUAAUCGUCAUAUUUUUAUCAAAGCUUUUAGCUACCAUUUGUUUUUGCCACCUAUGCACUUUUGGUGGUUUUACAGCAAGAAACUUCCAAAUAAUUUCUGGUGUCAUGGACUGCGUGGUUUCCCAUUGUUGCUCUAAUCUGCCCUUCUCACUUCAAACCUCUACUUCCUAAAAUGAGUCAAGGAUGGACUCUGAUGUUGUUGAAGGUGAGAAGCAGGGCAAAGAGAAACAGAAAAAAAGGGGAGCUGACUGAGACGUGAACGAGCUGGGGAAGUCCAGGUUGAACAUGCACUUAUGAGAGAC